rnacentral:rRNA from 1 species
UACGUAGGUCCCGAGCGUUGUCCGGAUUUAUUGGGCGUAAAGCGAGCGCAGGUGGUUUAAUAAGUCUGAUGUAAAAGGCAGUGGCUCAACCAUUGUGUGCAUUGGAAACUGUUAGACUUGAGUGCAGUAGAGGAGAGUGGAAUUCCAUGUGUAGCGGUGAAAUGCGUAGAUAUAUGGAGGAACACCGGUGGCGAAAGCGGCUCUCUGGCCAGUUACUGACGCUCAUGCGCGAAAGCGUGGGGAGCAAACAGG